AGAGUUUGAUCAUGGCUCAGGAUAAACGCUGGCGGCGCACAUAAGACAUGCAAGUCGAACGGAAGUCGUUAUAAAAAGGAUUGAAGAUUUAUCUGAUUGAGAUUUUAUAACAAUGGCUUUAGUGGCGGACUGGUGAGUAACGCGUGAGCAACCUGCCUACUAGAGGGGAAUAACAGUGAGAAAUCAUUGCUAAUACCGCAUAUGCCAUGAACAUCACAUGAUGAAAAUGGGAAAAGAGUAAUCUGCUAGUAGAUGGGCUCGCGUCUGAUUAGAUAGUUGGCGGGGUAACGGCCUACCAAGUCGACGAUCAGUAGCCGGACUGAGAGGUUGAACGGCCACAUUGGGACUGAGAUACGGCCCAGACUCCUACGGGAGGCAGCAGUCGGGAAUAUUGCGCAAUGGAGGAAACUCUGACGCAGUGACGCCGCGUAUAGGAAGAAGGUUUUCGGAUUGUAAACUAUUGUCGUUAGGGAAGAUACAAGACAGUACCUAAGGAGGAAGCUCCGGCUAACUACGUGCCAGCAGCCGCGGUAAUACGUAGGGAGCAGGCGU
rnacentral:rRNA from 1 species